CUUCGUCAAUAUCCUAAUCCCAUGCAUCAGAUAAUAACAACAUGGCAUGCAGUAAAUAACAAUAGUCAAACAUACAUUUAGGUCAAUUUAACCCUAGGGGUAUUUCGGUAAUUUAUCUCCUAGGGGUAAAACUGUAAAUUUUCCACUUUUAAAGGUAUUUGAGUAAUUUAUCUAUUUUAGGGUUUUUCAUGCAUAUUCCUACCUUUCACGUACUAACAGAAUCACGUACUGAGGGUUCUUACCGAAUUGGGCCCGUUGGCCCAUCAUUCCAAUUUUGGUCCAUAAGCCCAAAAAUAUCGAGGGCACAGAAAUCAUGCACUUUGCAGUCCAAACAUUGCAGCUUACCAAAAACAUUAAUCGAUUUACCUCACGAGCAUUCGCACACUCGCAAAUCUACAAAAUACCGGUUUUCGACAUUUUGGCUUUUCGGC
rnacentral:lncRNA from 1 species